UUCGACACACUAUCAUUAACUGAAUCCAUAGGUUAAUGAGGCGAACCGGGGGAACUGAAACAUCUAAGUACCCCGAGGAAAAGAAAUCAACCGAGAUUCCCCCAGUAGCGGCGAGCGAACGGGGAGGAGCCCAGAGCCUGAAUCAGUGUGUGUGUUAGUGGAAGCGUCUGGAAAGGCGCGCGAUACAGGGUGACAGCCCCGUACACAAAAAUGCACAUAUUGUGAGCUCGAUGAGUAGGGCGGGACACGUGGUAUCCUGUCUGAAUAUGGGGGGACCAUCCUCCAAGGCUAAAUACUCCUGACUGACCGAUAGUGAACCAGUACCGUGAGGGAAAGGCGAAAAGAACCCCGGCGAGGGGAGUGAAAAAGAACCUGAAACCGUGUACGUACAAGCAGUGGGAGCCUCUUAAUGGGGUGACUGCGUACCUUUUGUAUAAUGGGUCAGCGACUUAUAUUCUGUAGCAAGGUUAACCGAAUAGGGGAGCCGAAGGGAAACCGAGUCUUAACUGGGCGUUAAGUUGCAGGGUAUAGACCCGAAACCCGGUGAUCUAGCCAUGGGCAGGUUGAAGGUUGGGUAACACUAACUGGAGGACCGAACCGACUAAUGUUGAAAAAUUAGCGGAUGACUUGUGGCUGGGGGUGAAAGGCCAAUCAAACCGGGAGAUAGCUGGUUCUCCCCGAAAGCUAUUUAGGUAGCGCCUCGUGAAUUCAUCUCCGGGGGUAGAGCACUGUUUCGGCAAGGGGGUCAUCCCGACUUACCAACCCGAUGCAAACUGCGAAUACCGGAGAAUGUUAUCACGGGAGACACACGGCGGGUGCUAACGUCCGUCGUGAAGAGGGAAACAACCCAGACCGCCAGCUAAGGUCCCAAAGUCAUGGUUAAGUGGGAAACGAUGUGGGAAGGCCCAGACAGCCAGGAUGUUGGCUUAGAAGCAGCCAUCAUUUAAAGAAAGCGUAAUAGCUCACUGGUCGAGUCGGCCUGCGCGGAAGAUGUAACGGGGCUAAACCAUGCACCGAAGCUGCGGCAGCGACACUAUGUGUUGUUGGGUA
rnacentral:rRNA from 1 species